CGGCUAGGAGAGGAAAGGGUCCCAGAAAGGCACACGAAGAGGCUGGGCAGAGCUUUCCCUUGCCUUUCAGCCUUUGCCAUUUUUUUUUCAGAUGGCAAAGAUGGUCAGACAGGCCAGACAAACAGUGUCAUUCCCGCGGAGCCUCGCGCUGUGAGUCAGGGGAGGGAACAGGUCUGUUUGCUCACACAGACAGCAGGUCCAAGCGCCUAGCCGCAAGCACCCAGGCUUCAGCGCUCAACCUCAGAAACUCAGACCGAGAAACCCGGCCCCGAGUGUUUGGCCUCAACAACCCAGCCGACUCCCAUUUCGCGGCUGCAAGCACCAGCGCAGCUGCUGUAACGCCCUGUCGGGGCGGCGGGGGCGGGGAGGAGGGCCGGGCAGGACACAGGACUCGGAGGUCCUUUAUCGGAACGGACACAAGCGGUCCCGGAGGAAAGCCUGGCCGCAGUCGUUCCUGCAGGAUCUGUUUACUGGUCCCUGUAGCUCUCACCAAGGAAAUGCCAGUCCAGCCAUGCAAAUAGCCACGCAGCCCAAAGCCUGGACGGCUUCACCUGCCUUUCUUUGUUCUUGAACACACACGGUUUGUUUGCCCAGGGUUGUGUCUUGCCUCAUUGGCUCCUAACACACCCACGGAGAAGCUGAGGUCCCCAACAAGGACGGUGUGCUCUGCUGGAGCCUUCCCUGAGCAAAGAGCAGGGGACGGCCACUCCACAUGGGAAAGUCUGUGUGUGCUUGGGCCUGUCUCCUCACUGUCUAGCUCCUGUGGGGGUCAGAGUUCAGCUGACAGAAGUUCUGGGUUUUUAUUUUCCUUUCGUUUCUUUUUUUAAUAAUAAUAAUUUAUUUGUUUUUAUUUUAUGUGCAUUGGCGUUCUGCCUGCAUGUACGACCGGGUGAGGGUGUCAGAUCCUGGAGUUACAAAGAGUGGUGAGCUGCCAUGUGGGUGCUGGGACUCGAACCUGGGUGCUCUAGAAGAGCAGUCAGUGCUCUUAACCGCUGAGCCUGAGCCACAUCUCUACCCCCUCCUUCCCCACACACACACCCAUUUUCUCCUUCUAUUGUGUAAGGCCUGAGGAUGGAACUCAGGUCAUCAGUCUUGGCAACAGGUGUCCUUAUCCACUGGGCCAUCCUACCUGCCUCAGCAGAAACUCUUGAAGAGCCAAUGGGGCUCAGCUUUCUGCACCCACAGCUGCCAGAAGCACCCCAGGUUCUGACCCACAGAAAGAGGAGAGUGUCCUCACUGAGCCGCAAGUCCAUUCUCUCCAAACCUCCCGCUCCAAGCUGUGCCUCCUGCAGUCUUCUCUUAAGGUGAAGGUGUCUUGGGGCAGACAGAGGCCCAGGCCACGUACCUUUCCAAAGCCACGUUUCUCACUGCCACGGCACCCUCCACAUUUUUCUGUACCUGGAAUAACUUGGGAGCGUCGAAAAGAAUGGUUCAUGUGUCUGUCUACAGAAGUUGCUGUCUCAGUGACCUCGGGAACAGCGUGGGCUUUGGACUUUCGAGCGAGGCAAGCCAAGCAGCUCUCCAGUGCUGGGGAAGAACCCCAGAGAAUAUGAGCUUAUUCUACUCAUGGAGAACAGCCCCGUGUGACAUCGUGGUCUGCCAUUCCAGGGUGGGGAGGCAAACAGAGAAGCCCGGGGCUUGAUGGCCACCCACCAGGGCUAGCCAGGUUCCGUGAGAGAGCCUGUCUCAAGCCCGAAGCCCAAACUUAGGGUUAAAGUUACUGCCGGAGCAGGAGACCUUGGGCCUGGUCGCCUUCACUUUGUCACUCCGAACAAGAGUCCUGCCCUCCGGACUUGUAUGCUUGUCUGUACUUGGUUGAUUGACAGGAUGCGUCAAGCUCCCAGAAUCCCAACGACUGGAAGGCAGGAGGCUGUGGGGAGAGUUUGAGACUCCAGAGGUGGAGGCAGGAGGAUCAGAAGUUCAAAGUCACCCAGGGCUACACAGCAAAUUCAAGGCCAGCUGGGAAACACCAGGCCCUGUCAAACAAGCAGAAAGAAAGACCCCUUCGCUCCGUUUGCAUAUGCUCCUCUCUUCUGGGACGCUGUUCCCUGCUCCACCCCUUUGCCUUUCUCCAAGCUCCUUUCUUACCCUGGAUCGCCGCUGGGGGACAGGGUAUGGCUCCCUGGUCAUCUGAGGAUGAGGAAGUGACUCAGCCUUCCCUGUCUUUGCAUCCUUCCCUCUGGCCGCCCUGAACUUGCAGCUCCUUGAAAAGGCCUGGGUUUCCCUGUAUGGCCCUGGGUAUCCUGGAACUCUGUAGACCACCAGGCUGUCAGGAAAUUCACAGAGAUCAGCCUCUGCCUCCUGAGUGCUGGAUUAAUGGAUGAACCCUCCUGCUGUUGUUGUUGCUUUUACAUCUUUUUUUUUUUUUAAUAAAUAAGAUUUUUUAUAUGUA